GUCAGAGUUUGUAUCCUGGCUCAGAUUGAACGCUGGCGGCAUGCUUUACACAUGCAAGUCGAACGGUAACAGGUUAAGCUGACGAGUGGCGAACGGGUGAGUAAUGCAUCGGAACGUGCCCGAUCGUGGGGGAUAACGCAGCGAAAGCUGCGCUAAUACCGCAUACGAUCUGAGGAUGAAAGCGGGGGGUACCUUGUAGCAAUGCGGGGGCCUCGCGCGAUCGGAGCGGCCGAUGUCAGAUUAGGUAGUUGGUGGGGUAAAGGCUCA
rnacentral:rRNA from 1 species